rnacentral:tRNA from 1 species
GAAAGAGGCCCGCAGCAAUGAAGACUGCUAAUUUUCAUCACCUUGGUUAAACUCCGAGGCUCAUUCG